rnacentral:misc_RNA from 1 species
GAAAUGCGAUAAGUAAUGUGAAUUGCAGAAUUCCAUGAAUCAUCGAAUCUUUGAACGCACAUUGCGCCCUCUGGCAUUCCGGGGGGCAUGCCUGUCCGAGCGUCAUUACGCACCCUCAAGCCCGGCUUGUGUGAUGGGCCCCGGCGUCUCGUUCGCGAGACGGGCCCGAAAGGCAGCGGCGGCGUCGACCCGAUGAGCCCGAGCGUAUGGGGACUUCUGUCACACGUUCGCGGUGCGGACCGGCGCCUGCUUGACUUUUCUGAUUAUCCAGGUUGACCUCGGAUCAGGUAGGGAUACCCGCUGAACUUAAGC